AGAGUUUGAUCCUGGCUCAGAACGAACGCUGGCGGCGUGCCUAACACAUGCAAGUCGGACGAGAAAUUUCCCGCUUGCGGGAAAGAGUACAGUGGCGCACGGGUGAGUAACGCGUGGGUAACCUGCCCUUGAAUCUGGGAUAACUUCGCGAAAGCGUGGCUAAUACCGGGUAUUGUCCUCGAGGCUAUGGCAUCUUGGAUGAAAGGUGACCUCUUCAUGAAAGUUGCCGUUCGAGGAGGGGCUCGCGUACCAUUAGCUUGUUGGUAGGGUAAUGGCCUACCAAGGCUUCGAUGGUUAGCUGGUCUGAGAGGAUGAUCAGCCACACUGGAACUGGAACACGGUCCAGACUCCUACGGGAGGCAGCAGUGGGGAAUAUUGCGCAAUGGGGGAAACCCUGACGCAGCAACGCCGCGUGAGUGAAGAAGGCCUUCGGGUUGUAAAGCUCUGUCUGUCAGUUGGGAAGAAAUCACGAGGUAACCCCUCGUGACUGACGGUACCUUCAAAGGAAGCACUGGCUAACUCCGUGCCAGCAGCCGCGGUAAUACGGAGAGUGCAAGCGUUGUUCGGAAUUACUGGGCGUAAAGAGCAUGUAGGCGGCCUAGUCAGUCUGGUGUGAAAGCCCGGGGCUCAACCCAGGAAGUGCAUUUGAAACUGCCAUCCUAGAGUAUGGGAGAGGAGAGUGGAAUUCCCAGUGUAGAGGUGAAAUUCGUAGAUAUUGGGAGGAACACCCGUGGCGAAGGCGACUCUCUGGACCAAUACUGACGCUGAGACGCGAAAGCGUGGGGAGCAAACAGGAUUAGAUACCCUGGUAGUCCACGCCGUAAACGAUGAGAACUAGGUGUAGCGGGUAUUGACCCCUGCUGUGCCGUAGCUAACGCAUUAAGUUCUCCGCCUGGGGAGUACGGCCGCAAGGCUAAAACUCAAAGGAAUUGACGGGGGCCCGCACAAGCGGUGGAGCAUGUGGUUUAAUUCGACGCAACGCGAAGAACCUUACCUGGAUUUGACAUCCUCUGACAGCCCCGGAAACGGGGUCUUCCCUGCUUGCAGGGACAGAGUGACAGGUGCUGCAUGGCUGUCGUCAGCUCGUGUAGUGAGAUGUUGGGUUAAGUCCCGCAACGAGCGCAACCCUUGUCUUUAGUUGCCAGUAUUAAGUUAGGCACUCUAGAGAGACUGCCUCGGUUAACGAGGAGGAAGGUGGGGAUGACGUCAAGUCCUCAUGGCCUUUAUACCCAGGGCUACACACGUGCUACAAUGGGCUGUACAAUGGGUCGCCAAUCCGCGAGGAUGAGCCAAUCCCAAAAAGCAGCUCUCAGUUCGGAUUGAAGUCUGCAACUCGACUUCAUGAAGUUGGAAUCGCUAGUAAUCGUGGAUCAGCAUGCCACGGUGAAUACGUUCCCGGGCCUUGUACACACCGCCCGUCACACCACGAAAGUCGGCUGUACCAGAAGUUGCUGGGCUAACCCCUUUAGGGGAGGUAGGUACCUAAGGUACGGUCGGUAAUUGGGGUGAAGUCGUAACAAGG
rnacentral:rRNA from 1 species